AUUGAACGCUGGCGGAAUGCUUUACACAUGCAAGUCGAACGGUAGAGGGGGCAACCCCUUGAGAGUGGCGAACGGGUGAGUAAUAUAUCGGAACGUGCCCAGUCGUGGGGAUAACGUAGCGAAAGUUACGCUAAUACCGCAUACGAUCUACGGAUGAAAGCGGGGGACUCGCAAGAGCCUCGCGCGAUUGGAGCGGCCGAUAUCAGAUUAGGUAGUUGGUGGGGUAAAGGCUCACCAAGCCAACGAUCUGUAGCUGGUCUGAGAGGACGACCAGCCACACUGGACUGAGACACGGUCCAGACUCCUACGGGAGGCAGCAGUGGGGAAUUUUUGGACAAUGGACGCAAGUCUGAUCCAGCCAUUCCGCGUGCAGGAUGAAGGCCCUCGGGUUGUAAACUGCUUUUGUACGGAACGAAAGGUUUCUAUUAAUACUAGGAGCUCAUGACGGUACCGUAAGAAUAG
rnacentral:rRNA from 1 species